GCAUGAGAUGAUGCUAUUUCAUCUUUCGGGACUGACCUGUUAUGGAGAUGACCUUUUCAACUGAUCAUAC